GGGAAGAAACACUGGGUAGGCAAACAACCUACUAGCUUGACGGUACCAUAAUAGAAAGCCCCGGCUAACUACGUGCCAGCAGCCGCGGUAAGACGUAGGGGGCAAGCGUUGUUCGGAAUCACUGGGCGUAAAGGGCGUACAGGCGGCCAUGUAAGUCAAUUGUGAAAUUCUUAGGCUUAACCUGAGAACUGCACUUGAUACUGUGUGGCUUGAGAUCAGGAGAGGAGAGUGGAAUAUGUAGUGUAGCGGUGAAAUGCGUAGAUAUUACAUAGAACACCGGUGGCGAAGGCGGCUCUCUGGCCUGAUUCUGACGCUGACGCGCGAAAGCUAGGGUAGCGAACGGGAUUAGAUACCCCGGUAGUCCUAGCCGUAAACGAUGGGUACUAAGUGUAGGAGGUCAUUGACCCCUCCUGUGCUGCAGCUAACGCAUUAAGUACCCCGCCUGGGGACUACGGUCGCAAGACUAAAACUCAAUGUAAUUGACGGGGGCCCGCACAAGCGGUGGAGCAUGUCGCUUAAUUCGAAGCAACGCGAAGAACCUUAUCCAGUGGCUUGACAUCCUUUGACAACCGUGNAAACACGGCUUUCCCUUAUGGGACAAAGUGACAGGUGCUGCAUGGCAGUCGUCAGCUCGUGUCGUGAGAUGUUGGGUUAAGUCCCGCAACGAGCGCAACCCCUGUCUCU
rnacentral:rRNA from 1 species